rnacentral:rRNA from 1 species
UACGGGGGGGGCAAGCGUUGUUCGGAAUUACUGGGCGUAAAGGGUUCGUAGGUGGCUUGCUAAGUCAGACGUGAAAUCCCUCAGCUUAACUGGGGAACUGCGUCUGAGACUGGCAAGCUUGAGUGCAGGAGAGGAAUGCGGAAUUCCAGGUGUAGCGGUGAAAUGCGUAGAUAUCUGGAGGAACACCGGUGGCGAAGGCGGCGUUCUGGACUGCAACUGACGCUGAGACGCGAAAGCGUGGGGAGCGAACCGG